rnacentral:rRNA from 1 species
UACGGGGGGGGGCAAGCGUUGUUCGGAAUUACUGGGCGUAAAGGGCUCGUAGGCGGCCAACUAAGUCAGACGUGAAAUCCCUCGGCUUAACCGGGGAACUGCGUCUGAUACUGGAUGGCUUGAGGUUGGGAGAGGGAUGCGGAAUUCCAGGUGUAGCGGUGAAAUGCGUAGAUAUCUGGAGGAACACCGGUGGCGAAGGCGGCGAUCCUGGACCAAUUCUGACGCUGAGGAGCGAAAGCCAGGGGAGCAAAACGGG